rnacentral:rRNA from 1 species
UACGAAGGGGGCUAGCGUUGUUCGGAUUUACUGGGCGUAAAGGGCGCGUAGGCGGCCACGACAAGUCACUUGUGAAAUCUCCGGGCUUAACUCGGAACGGUCAAGUGAUACUGUCGGGCUAGAGUGCAGAAGGGGCAACUGGAAUUCUCGGUGUAGCGGUGAAAUGCGUAGAUAUCGAGAGGAACACCUGCGGCGAAGGCGGGUUGCUGGGCCGCAACUGACGCUGAGGAGCGAAAGCAUGGGGGAGCGAACAGG